GCAUAAAGAAAGGGAGCAUCUCAGGGGUUACCACAGUCUGGCAGGCUAGGUGCUCUUCAGCUACUGCCUUUCCUACAAGGAGCUGAAGCACAAGCUGUUACACAGGUACCACUGAAGAAGAGGAUACGUCUGCAUUACCCCCCAUGAUCUUGCCCCGAGCCCCUCCUUAAGGAACACAAUCUUGAUCAUCGCUGAAUCCUUUUAUAUCCUAAUGGGAAUUAACCUCAAAUAAAAUAUGACUGGUUAAAAAAAAAGGUUCAUAGUUAAUAAAAGCAUUAACAGUACAAUUACUUUCAAAAAAUCUUUCAGGAAAUAGCCUUUAAAGUGAAGAAGAAUAUUCUGUAGACAAUCAUUACGAAUGUAAAGGUGGUUAUAGUACCUUGACUUGUAUCACAGAUCUUAUUGCACACAAUUUGUACUAGAGGAAAACCUUGAAGCAGAUGUUCAAGUUUUGUUCAACAUCAGGGAAUUUAUAUUGGUGAAGAGUCCUGCAAAUGUAAUGAAUUUAGAAACACUGUUUUUUGAAAAACUACAGCUUAGAAAAGACCAGAGUUUAUACUAAAAUAUGUUUUUGCAGAUGCAGUUAACAUGAAAGAAUAUUUAAUUCGAAAUUGAUUUUAUGUAAAUAUCAGAGAAUUUACAGUAGAAUAAGGCACUGACACUUCAGACAUUACACUAAAUCAGAGUGUUGAGUAUAGAAACUAAUCCACAACUAAAGUUGUUAGAUAAAUUAUUUGUGUAUACCUCUAAAAGAUUUUUUGAAGCAUUGUUAUUACAUUGAAAGUAUAUGUGUUUCCUUGAAAACAAAAAUUUGAAAGCUGAAUAAUGAUGUAAUACAGCUUUCAAAUUAUGCUGUUAUUUUAUUCCUAUUGUAUUCACAUGUGAAAGCAUGUGAUCAAUUGUUGUGCAUCAGAAAUAUUAGAGAUUCUUUUUUAUUGGGCAUUACUUAUGACCUUUUCUAUAAAAGAGCAAGGAUAUUAAAAUGUAAGAUGCAGAAUGAAAAUAUAAGUGAAGGGGCUGUUUGUAGUUAACUCAUGUUAAUUGAUGGAUAAGGUAGGUGUUCAGAAUAACACUUUUCUACAUGAGAGAGAGAGAAAUUAAUUAUAGUUAAAAGUAUUAAAAUAGCAUAUUUUACUAUUAUGUAAUAAAAUGAAGUACAAUUAAAAAUUGUUAGAUUAUGUGUGAACUCUAUUUUGUUUAUCAUGUUAAGACUAUUUUGUGUGUUUAAUGAAGCAUUAUUACACCACUAACUUUAACCUAUCCCACCUUACUCAAGGCGGGUGGAUCACGAGGUCAAGAGAUCG